rnacentral:rRNA from 1 species
GAUGAACGCUAGCUACAGGCUCAACACAUGCAAGUCGAGGGGCAGCAUGGUCUUAGCUUGCUAAGGCCGAUGGCGACCGGCGCACGGGCGAGUAACACGUAUCCAACCUGCCGUCUACUCUUGGACAGCCUUCUGAAAGGAAGAUUAAUACAAGAUGGCAUCAUGAGUCCGCAUGUUCACAUGAUUAAAGGUAUUCCGGUAGACGAUGGGGAUGCGUUCCAUUAGAUAGUAGGCGGGGUAACGGCCCACCUAGUCUUCGAUGGAUAGGGGUUCUGAGAGGAAGGUCCCCCACAUUGGAACUGAGACACGGUCCAAACUCCUACGGGAGGCAGCAGUGAGGAAUAUUGGUCAAUGGGCGAGAGCCUGAACCAGCCAAGUAGCGUGAAGGAUGACUGCCCUAUGGGUUGUAAACUUCUUUUAUAAAGGAAUAAAGUCGGGUAUGUAUACCCGUUUGCAUGUACUUUAUGAAUAAGGAUCGGCUAACUCCGUGCCAGCAGCCGCGGUAAUACGGAGGAUCCGAGCGUUAUCCGGAUUUAUUGGGUUUAAAGGGAGCGUAGAUGGAUGUUUAAGUCAGUUGUGAAAGUUUGCGGCUCAACCGUAAAAUUGCAGUUGAUACUGGAUAUCUUGAGUGCAGUUGAGGCAGGCGGAAUUCGUGGUGUAGCGGUGAAAUGCUUAGAUAUCACGAAGAACUCCGAUUGCGAAGGCAGCCUGCUAAGCUGCAACUGACAUUGAGGCUCGAAAGUGUGGGUAUCAAAC